rnacentral:rRNA from 1 species
UAUGUUCCUUAGAUCGUUUCUUCCUACUUGGAUAACUGUGGCAAUUCUAGAGCUAAUACAUGCAGUGAGCCUGGAGCCCUUUGGGUAACGGGUGCUUUUAUUAGACCAAGAUCGAUCGGGUUUCGGCCCGUAUUGUGUGGUGACUCUGGAUAACUUUGUGCUGAUCGCAUGGCCACGAGCCGGCGACGUUUCUUUCAAGUGUCUGCCUUAUCAACUUUCGAUGGUAGGUUACUUGCUUACCAUGGUUGUUACGGGUAACGGAGAAUCAGGGUUCGAUUCCGGAGAGGGAGCCUGAGAAACGGCUACCACAUCCAAGGAAGGCAGCAGGCGCGCAAAUUACCCACUCCCGGCACGGGGAGGUAGUGACGAAAAAUAACAAUACGGGACUCUUUUGAGGCCCCGUAAUUGAAAUGAGUACACUCUAAAUCCUUUAACGAGGAUCAAUUGGAGGGCAAGUCUGGUGCCAGCAGCCGCGGUAAUUCCAGCUCCAAUAGCGUAUACUAAAGCUGCUGCGGUUAAAAAGCUCGUAGUUGGAUCUCAGUUCCAGACGAGUAGUGCAUCUACCCGAUGCGACGGCUCGGACUGAACAUCAUGCCGGUUCUUUCUUGGUGCACUUCAUUGUGUGCCUCGAGAUGGCCGGUGCUUUUACUUUGAAAAAAUUAGAGUGCUCAAUACGCAGGCGAGUCGCCUGAAUCUGAAACUUGCAUGGAAUAAUAGAACAAGACCUCGUUUUCAAAGGGCUCCAGGCUCACCGCAUGUAUUAGCGUCUAGAAUGCCACA